UACGUAGGCAGCGAGCGUUGUUCGGAGUUACUGGGCGUAAAGGGUGCGUAGGCGGCUCCUUAAGUUUGGUGUGAAAUCUCCCGGCUCAACUGGGAGGGUGCGCCGGAUACUGAGGGGCUAGAGUGCGGGAAGGGAAAGUGGAAUUCCUGGUGUAGCGGUGAAAUGCGUAGAUAUCAGGAGGAACACCGGUAGUGCAAACGGCUUUCUGGACCGUAACUGACGCUGAGGCACGAAAGCGUGGGGAG
rnacentral:rRNA from 1 species